rnacentral:rRNA from 1 species
UACGUAGGGUGCAAGCGUUGUCCGGAAUUAUUGGGCGUAAAGAGCUCGUAGGCGGUUUGUCGCGUCUGCUGUGAAAACUCAGGGCUCAACCCUGAGCGUGCUUCCGAUACGGGCUGACUAGAGGUAUGCAGGGGAGAACGGAAUUCCUGGUGUAGCGGUGGAAUGCGCAGAUAUCAGGAGGAACACCGGUGGCGAAGGCGGUUCUCUGGGCAUUACCUGACGCUGAGGAGCGAAAGCAUGGGGAGCGAACAGG